GACGAACGCUGGCGGCGUGCUUAACACAUGCAAGUCGAACGGAAAGGCCCUGCUUUUGUGGGGUGCUCGAGUGGCGAACGGGUGAGUAAUACGUGAGUAACCUGCCCGUGACUUUGGGAUAACCUCAGGAAACUGGGGCUAAUACCGGAUAGGAGCUCCGGCGGCAUGGUGGGGGUUGGAAAGCUUCGGCGGUUGGGGUUGGACUCGCGGCUUAUCAGCUUGUUGGUGGGGUAGUGGCUUACCAAGGCUUUGACGGGUCGCCGGCCUGAGAGGGUGACCGGCCACAUUGGGACUGAGAUACGGACCAGACUCCUACGGGAGACAGCAGUGGGGAAUAUUGCACAAUGGGCGGAAGCCUGAUGCAGCAACGCCGCGUGCGGGAUGACGGCCUUCGGGUUGUGAACCGCUUUCGCCUGUGACGAAGCGUGAGUGACGGUAAUGGGUAAAGAAGCACCGGCUAACUACGUA
rnacentral:rRNA from 1 species